rnacentral:rRNA from 1 species
UUUAACUGAAGAGUUUGAUCAUGGCUCAGAUUGAACGCUGGCGGCAGGCUUAACACAUGCAAGUCGAGCGGGGGAAGGUAGCUUGCUACCGGACCUAGCGGCGGACGGGWGAGUAAUGCUUAGGAAUCUGCCUAUUAGUGGGGGACAACAUCUCGAAAGGGAUGCUAAUACCGCAUACG